UACGUAGGGUGCAAGCGUUGUCCGGAAUUAUUGGGCGUAAAGAGCUCGUAGGCGGUCUGUCGCGUCGGCUGUGAAAACCCGUGGCUCAACUGCGGGCUGGCAGCCGAUACGGGCAGCUGGAGUUCGGCUGGAGGGAGACUGGAAUUCCUGGUGUAGCGGUGAAAUGCGCAGAUAUCAGGAGGAACACCGGUGGCGAAGGCGGGUCUCUGG
rnacentral:rRNA from 1 species